AUUAGUAUACCUGAAUUCUGUGUGGAAGACUUGAGUUGAAUGUGUGCUGGUAAGGUAGGAAUGCAAAUUGUACAGGAUUAAAACAUCUGUCCUGAGGUCUGCUGUACAAAACGCGUUGAACCAUCUCUGGGGUGGAAAACAGAAGCUGAAUUAUGGCCGUGAAGACGAAUCUCUCUCCCUGCUUUAGACGGAAGAGCUGAAGAAUGAAAACAAAGAAUCCCACACAGCACAAGAUGGUGGCCAGUAUCAUGGUGGCCUGCACUGCCUGAAGAUAUGCUGAUAAAGACAAAGACAACAAACACAAGCUGCCUUCCUGUGCUCUGCUGAGGGGAGGAACCAGGGGAGGAGAACCGUGAGACCAAAAACUCAAAACACCAUGCCCACAAAUCUGCGAUUUGAACCAGGAAAUGUGUUGAGCAGAUGAUUCAGAUGCCAUGAAUACAUUCAAGGGAUACUUAGACAAUAUGUAUGUGAUUUUUUUCUCUCUCAGUUGAACACUAAAGAAGAAUUUGUCCACUGCCACAAUACUUUUUUCUUCAUAGUAGAAUAUUAAUAACUUCCUAAAAAUUCAUUUUAUAUUUAAUAUUUUAAAUGAAUUGAGGGUGAGUAAAUGACAAAGUAUAUUUGAUGAAUUAUUCAUUUUCAUAGAUUCAAUUAAAUGGUUUAAUC
rnacentral:lncRNA from 1 species